rnacentral:rRNA from 1 species
GACAGAGGGUGCAAACGUUGCUCGGAAUCACUGGGCGUAAAGGGCGUGUAGGCGGGAAGGAAAGUCAGAUGUGAAAUCCCUGGGCUCAACCCAGGAACUGCAUUUGAAACUCCCUUUCUUGAGUGUCGGAGAGGAAAGCGGAAUUCCUGGUGUAGAGGUGAAAUUCGUAGAUAUCAGGAGGAACACCGGUGGCGAAGGCGGCUUUCUGGACGAUAACUGACGCUGAGACGCGAAAGCGUGGGGAGCAAACAGG